GGCACUGUGGCUUAGUUGGCUAAAGCACCUGUCUUGUAAACUGAAGAUCUUGGGUUCAAAUCCCAUCAGUGCCU
rnacentral:tRNA from 1 species